GAACGAACCCUUCGGGGUGAGUGGCGCACGGGUGCGUAACGCGUGGGAACCUGCCCUUUGGUUUGGAAUAACGGUUGGAAACGACUGCUAAUACCAAAUAAUGUCUUCGGACCAAAGAUUUAUCGCCAUUGGAUGGGCCCGCGUUGGAUUAGCUAGUUGGUGGGGUAAAGGCCUACCAAGGCGACGAUCCAUAGCUGGUCUUAGAGGAUGAUCAGCCACACUGGGACUGAGACACGGCCCAGACUCCUACGGGAGGCAGCAGUGGGGAAUAUUGGACAAUGGGCGAAAGCCUGAUCCAGCAAUGCCGCGUGAGUGAUGAA
rnacentral:rRNA from 1 species